CUACCAACAUUAGGAAAACUUUGUCAAAAAGGAGCAAGAGGAGGGAGUGGUUACUGGAACCCAGAAUAUGUAUCUAUAAAAAAGAACAAGGCAAUUGUCUGUCAGGAGCUAUGAUUUUCAGUAGAGCAAUUGGAGGCUGUUAUCUAAAGCAAAUUAACACAGAAAGAAAACCAAAUACCACAUGUUCUCAUUUAUGAGUGGGAGCUAAACAUUUGGUACUCAUGGAGAUAAAGAUGGCAACAAUAGACACAGAAACUACUGGUGGAGUUGGCAAAGGUUGAAAAACUAAUUAUUGAGUACUAUGCUCAGUACCUGGAUGACAGGAUAUCAUAGUUCUAGAAUGUAGUUCUGGUGUAGGAUUGCUAGAGAGAUAUGAAAAUGAUGGUUAGGAUAUUCAAAGUGUGAAGAGG
rnacentral:lncRNA from 1 species